rnacentral:lncRNA from 1 species
AUGGGUCAAUUCCUGCAGCAUACAACUUUUUUUAUAUCACGCCUGUGAAAAAUGAGAAGAUCAUAAGAAAGUAUUACCCAAUGGAUCCAAUCACAUCAAUUGAUCCAAUUGGUAAUUCUCCUGUAAUUAUCAAGAAGGUAAACAAACAAUCAUCAUUGUUGUCGCCAUUGUCAAUUUAAAUUCAUUGGUUUAUUAGAUUUGUUAUUUUUUUAAAUGAAUUGCAGUCAAUAUUGAAGAUAAUUGCACCUACAUGGAUGAAUGUUUCAAUGAAGAUGAAAAAUGAUCCAGAGACUGACGAGACUUUUGGAUGGGUUCUUGAAAUGUGAGUGAGUGAUAAAUAGAUCAUAGAUGCAAUGCAAAUAUGCAUUUUUUUAGGUUUUUAAGUGUUUACGGUUUAUAUAAAGAUUAUAGAUAUACUUUGAUGAAUUGAAUUAUGAUCAUAGGUAUGGAUAUGCUGUUGCAAGUGCUCUGCAUGGUAUUAGAUACAUACUCAGGCCAGAUUUCAUGGUUCAGGUGGUUUUUCCUAGCAUUUUGUUUAUUAUAAAAGUAUAAAAACAACAAUAAAAUAUUUUUAACAUGGAUUGCAGCCUCCAUUUGAUCAAACUCUCGGGGGAAGUUUUAUCAUCCAUUAUACAUAUGGAAAUGAUUAUAAUGCAAAGGUAUGCUUAAAACCUGUCAGAUUACCCAGCUAAUUUCUACUAUAAAAGAAUAAAUGGGAUGUAUUGUUCAGGGUGAGCUAACUUAUGGAGUGAUUGGAGAUUGGAGGUUUGAUAAAAGAUCAUAUACUGCCUCAAGACUACCAAGAAAUCUUACCUUACCUCCGCCAGGUGUUCCUGAAACAGUGGUAUGUAGAUUGUUCCUCAUAUUAUGAUUAUUUUCAUCAGCCUGCAAAAAAAAAGUGUGAAAAAGCUUCUCUAAUUGCAGGUUACAUUGGUACAGAAGAUUAACGAGGCAACUGCUAACAUACCAAAUUGGGACAGUUGACGUCUCAACGAUGAUAUUUAAUUUGUUACAUUUCCAAAAAUUUUAAUGCCUUAUAUAGAUAAAAAAAAUACUUUUUGUAGGAAAAAUAGAAUCUUCGGUAGAACUUUCAGCUCUUCUUUGUUUUUUUUCCAUUAUCUCAAUUACUCUGUAUAAAAAGAGAACAAAGAAAGUUGGAAGAGAAAUUACUAAAAUGGUUUGGUUAUUUUUGAAACUGUUUUCCGCACUCAACUUUUUUCCAAUUUGAAAAAUAAAGAUCAGAAAGAAAAAAAUACUGCUAAAGAAAUAUAUUUAGGAACGAAUCUAUAUUUUAAAAAAACUAUUUACCACAGAACAUAUCUUCUGAUCACACUUUGUUCAACUUGCUAUAACCAAGUUAAAACACAACCACUGUAAAUUGAAUUUAUAAAUUUAUAAUCAUGGAUAUUGAAACCUUGAAAUAUACACAAGUUCCUUCAAAUACUCUAGAGAAAUCCCUUCAUUUGCUGUAUUGUAUACUAUCUUGUAUUCUUGUGUUCUUAUCGUUUUAUAUCUCAAAAAUAUGUAUCGAUGAAAAUUAGAUAAUUAGUAAUUUGUUUUUUGGUAAUGCAUGCUAUUUAAAAUAAUAUAAAAAACCUGAGUAAGAAUCUAAACUUUUCUUGUUGCAUUAUUAAUUUAUUAUUAUCUUAAUCUUCCAACAUAUUCAAUGGAAUAUAGAUUCAAGCAGAAAUUUCAUAUCACACGUAAGAUGCUUGGUUUAAAUACUUGAUGAAAAACAUAUCUUGCAGAGUUGCAGGUGUUAUACCAAAUACCAAUAUACCCUGAACAGCACAAACUACAAGAAACACAGAAAUUCCAUAUGAUUUUUUUAAAGAUGCUUGAUUUUAAUUGUGAAAAACAAGUAAGACGUGUUUUUGCACCAAUUGGUUAAUCGAAAAGCUGAUAUCAGUUAGUGUUUGGUUGGACCUCGAUCCAAAGAAUUGCCAUACCAGAUGACAAUUAUGUCGACACUUAUGUUUAUAAAAAUGGCCCGACUCAAAAUCUAUAAUAACAUAAAGGGUUUGCCAUUUAGAUUUUAUAAUUACCUCGGAAUUAUGAAACCCACUUUGGUCAACUUUUUGAAAAGAUUCGGGGUCGAUCUUGCCAGAUGCUGGUUGUCCAAAACUUCUCAUAGUAUAACCAGAGUGAAUAUUGUUUAAAAAGGAGAGAGUUGAAGAAAAUCAAAUCUGUCAAAGUAACAAUAUUACAAGAGAUCAGUUAGAACCUUGACAGUGUUGUUUUUCUAUACAUAUUUUAUUACUGCAAAAAUGCCAAUUAUGAUUGUUGAUUGGUACUUGAUUUACAUCGGAAACAAACUAUUUAAUGAUUUGUAAUAGAAACAGAGCAAUUACCUGAUUUAAAUCUACUUAUAGAAAAAUAUCUCCUAAAAUAUCAAAUAUAAAUAUAUCUAUCAAAUUUAAUUUAUAAUCUAAUGGAUAGAAAAGGUAGACGAUUCAUAGAAUCUCAUGGAAGAUUCGAAUGGAUUAUAUACUUAUUAUAUACCAUUCUAUUCUAUCUACUUAAUCUGACACUCGUUUCUCUUUCUUCUUCUUCUUCUUGUCUCUAUUACUCUAUGACUCUAUCUCUUUUUCACACUAAAAAUAUGAUUGGACGACCUGGAUCUAAAAUGUGCUGUCAACCUAUACCAACAAUGACCAUUCUAUCAUAUUUGAUACCCAAACUCUUCAUCUUCUUGAUUGCCAUUGGAUCUUCCAUGACAAUCUACAUGAUACUAAUCUCCAACUUUCAUACCCAAAUUGAGUUUGGUCAAGUGGUUUUAAUGACAGAUAAUCAUAGCCAUUCAGAGCCCAAACGACCAUUCCAUGUGGCAAUGACUGCUUCAAAAGGGCUGUAUGGAAAGUGGCAGUGCCGUAUCGCAUAUUACUGGUACAAAAAGGUAAGAGAUUUGCCUGGAUCGGAGAUGGGUGGGUUUACGAGAAUUUUGCAUUCCGGUGAGUCAGAUGAUCUCGUGGAUGAAAUACCCACCUUCGUCGUCAAACCUCUUCCUUCUGACCAAGAACAGGUAAUCUUUUUUGAUUGAUUUAGUUUGUAGCAAGCUACAAUUUCAGAUUCUUAGGCCCUUCUGAGCAGUCAAAAUUCAUGCUUUGUGGUUGUUGAAGGGUUAUGUGGUGUUGAACAGACCUUGGGCAUUUGUGCAAUGGUUACAGAAGGCUGAGAUCGAGGAAGAAUACGUGCUGAUGGCAGAACCAGACCAUUUGUUUGUCAAACCUAUGCCAAACUUAGCUCAUGGAUCAGUUCCUGCAGCAUUCAAGUUUCUCUAUAUCGUACCUGAGAUGUAUGAAGAGAUUAUAAGAAAAUAUUACCCAAUGAAUUCGGGACCAGUGACUCUUAUUGAUCCAAUUGGGAAUUCUCCAGCAAUCAUCAAGAAGGUAAUUGAUCAUCGUCAAUGACUGAGUUUGACUUCUUUUUUAAUAAUUUAAUCCACUUGUUGGUUGGUUGCAGUCGGUGUUGAAGAAAAUUGCACCUACAUGGAUGGAUGUUUCAAUAAAGAUGAAAAAUGAUCCAGAGACUGUAAAGAUUUUUGGAUGGAUUCUUGAAAUGUGAGUGACUAAUAUAUGCAAAUGACUCAGAUGAGAUAUCAAGUGGUUUUAUAGCGCUAAUAGUUUGCAUGAGUUUUAUUUCUAAUGGGCACUACUACCCAAUUUGAAAUUUCGAAUACUUGGUAAUGUAAAUAUAUAUCAGAUGGGUUUUGUUGUCAUAUCAAGAUUUUAUCCUUCUAGGAAAGGUUUCCUCUGUUUGCAAAAAAUAGAUUGAUGUGCAGUACAAAUAUGCAAUUUUUUAUUGUUCUGUAUUUUUAGGGUUUAUAUACAAUUCUAGACAUAAGAUCAUAAUCUGAUGAAUUUAAUUAUGACCAAAGGUAUGGAUAUGCAAUUGCAAGUGCCCUACAUGGUGUUAGACACAUACUCCAUCCUGAUUUCAUGGUUCAGGUGUUUUUUUCUUAACAUGAUCUUUAUUUCAAAAAUAAAUAAAAUUAUAAAACAGUAAUAAAAGAUUUUUAACAUGAAUGGCAGCCUCCUUUUGAUCCAAUUCUUGAAGGAAGUUUUAUUAUCCACUAUACUUAUGGAAAUGACUAUAAUACAAAGGUAUAUUCUUGUUUAAAACCCUACUGCUAAGAUUUAUUUCUUGGCUCCUGCAGAUUUUUGAGAUGCCCAAUUUCCAUGAUAAUAGAUUGUACUGUUCAGGGUGAGCUAACUUACGGAGUGACUGGAGAUUGGAGUUUUAAUAAAAGAUCUUAUAAGCAAUCAUCAGUACCAAGAAACAUAAUAUUACCUCCAUCAGGUGUUCCUGAAACUGUGGUAUGCAGAUUGCUCCUGAAACUAUGAUUAUUUCUGUCAAUCUGCAAGAAAGAUGUAUAAAAAAAA